rnacentral:antisense_RNA from 1 species
CUUCACCGAGCCCAGCAGCAGCGGCCGAUGCGGUUCCCGGUCCUGACCGUAGGUGGCCAGCAAUGCCUGGGCCUC